UCUGAUUUAGCAUAUAUUAAUGUAAAAGAUUGUAAAUCUUUUGAAAGUCAAAUUAACUAGUCAGGA
rnacentral:tRNA from 1 species